UCUGGGGACAGUCUUCGCUGCCUAUGCCAGCCUGCUGUCUUCCCUCCUCCCCAGCAACCGGGAUAGGCAGAAGGCCCUCAGGGACCUGGGUGAGCCUGGCUACGGGAACGGGGACAUCCUGGACUCCCCAAGAUGUUGCGACCAGAGCGCCUCCUUCAGGCACCUCUCCGCUGGUGCUCUCCUGGGUCCCUAAGCGCUCUCUGUUUGCUUUUAGACCCCCCUGACUCUGAAGCUCAGCUCUGCCAUUGGUUUCCACAACCCAAAACAAACCACUUCACCAUGCAUCCUGUGAGUUUUAGGAUGGAAGCGGAGAGGGCAUUUUUAAGACAAGCCUAAGCUUCACGCUGUGACCGCAACACAAUGUGCUCACCUUAGAAUACUCUACCUUUGCCAUAAAUGCAUCAAAAGGUGGGGGAGCCAGCUGCCACAUAGCGAGGACGCUCAAACAGCUCUGUGGAGGGGUCCAUAUGCGAGGAACUGAGAGGCCUCCUGCCAACAACCACAGAGGCAGCCAUCUUGGAAGCUUUCAGCUCUAGGCAACCUUUCAGAUGACCCGACCCUUGACUGAUACCUUGUGAAAGACCAACCCUGGACUACUCAGCUAAGCCACUCACUAAUUCCUGACCCUCAGAAGGGGGUGAGAUAAUAAUAUUGUU